rnacentral:rRNA from 1 species
GUGCCAGCCGCCGCGGUAAUACGGGGGUGGCGAGCGUUGUCCGGAAUUACUAGGCGUAAAGGGCAGGUAGGCGGAUUGGUAAGUUAACCGUUAAAGGCCCAUGCUCACCAUGGGUAGGGCGGUUGAUACUGUCAGUCUGGAAGCGAGUGGGGGAAGACGGAAUUCCUGGUGUAGCGGUGGAAUGCGCAGAUAUCAGGAGGAACACCGAAGGCGAAGGCAGUCUUCUACGCUUGUCUUGACGCUAAACUGCGAAGGUGCGGGUAUCAAACAGGAUUAGAUACCCUGGUAGUCC